rnacentral:lncRNA from 1 species
GGGAGUUAUUGCAUUAUUCGCUGAUGCAGGAAUUAUUUCAUGAAGACGGGUGGCCACUCGCUGUUGCUAAUAUUGAAGGAUUAUAUUCUUAGGAAAUCGCCGGAAGACGGGACAUUAUGAUAGGCGUAGUGAUUUUGAUACUCUGCGUAGCCUUGACGUCACUGUGGCUGAUUGCGAAGAGGUGGAUGCGAACAUAUCGUCUUCCGGCCGGAAAGAGACUGCCACCCAUGCCACCAGCACGGUCUAUUCGCGGGCACGUAGAGCUGAAUAGCAAGACCUUCCACUACACCAAAGCAAUUGAGUGGUCGAAAACUUACGGCCCGGUUUUCAGAUGCAGACUUGACUAUAUAGAGGUGGUUUUUAUGAACGACACAGAGAGCAUAAGAAAAUAUAUAAACAAGAACGAAGUCCUUCAACGUUCAGAGUCAGUCAUCAAGGGAAGGGACUACUACU